rnacentral:sRNA from 1 species
UUUUUCUUAAUUUUUUUGUUGUUUUUUGUAUCUAAAAACUGAAU